ensembl:lncRNA
GGGUUCCUGGACCAGGAGGGAAAUGGAGAGUCCAGCCAGGGAAGGCCCAGACCCCUUCCUGCCUCCAGGGUAGCAUUUGCAGCCAAUGGGUAAUUAUGAAAGGUGUGCGAUAAAGUUCAGAGGCACACAUGUGGAUCCAAACAGGCAUAGCAAGACAAGGAGCCAGAAGGCCAGGCCACGCACAGUGGAGAGCACGAGAAUCGAAGGAAAUCAAAAUAUGUGUUUAUAUCCAUAGGACUGCCUGGAGGCAGAGGCCAGGAGCUGGGGAGUUAGGCUCCAGGAGGCUGAGGUUCUUGGGUCUCAAGGUCCCAGCCAGCUCGGCUCCCCACACUGCUCCCCACGGUCUUGAUGUGUCAGUUGCAGGAAGUCAUGAUUUUGAAGGAGGCAGUUCUCAGAACGUGAUGCUCUGAUUGGCCCCCAAACCUCCAUCCUGAGCUCCAGCCUCCGCCCUCCUGAAGCCGUUGGAUUACCUGCUGCUGCUAUGAACAAGGAGGGUCUUCAGACAGCUUCUAGAAUUUCAAGCUGGAAACGCUCCCAGGGAGAAGACAUGGUCAACCCUACAUCUCUGGUGAGGCCCAACCACCCUCCUGGAACUCAGAGGCAGCCUGAGGGCUCUUCCACACUGCUUUCAGCUCUUCACCACUGUGCCGAAGACUACGAGGAACACGUGAGCGCAUGACUCAGAAGCCUCAGGGAAGAUGGAGGGCGAGGUGCUGGCAAUUUUUCCGGCAACUCUUUGCGUGAGAUGACAUGCAACAGGGAGCAGGGCUAUUCUGGCCUUGUGGGGAGAGAGAUUGGAAGACGUGACAUUUGUUCCACAGCUGGCUGGCGGCACUGGUUCUGAGCUUUUGUAGAGAGGAGGUGAACAGGCAGCAGCAGAAGUGUCCUUAUAGAAAGGGGAGAUGUGGACACAGAGACAGAGGCGCAGAGGAAAGAUGAGAAGACGCACAGGGAGAAGACCGCCGUGUGACUGGAGUGAUGCAUCCACCAGCCAACGAAGCCCCAGGAUUGCCAGGAACACCCAAAGCGACAAGAGGCAAGGAAGAAUUCUCCCCUAGAGCUGUCAGAGGAAACACAGCCCUACGGACACCUUGAUCUCAGACUUCUGGCCUCCAGAACUGUCACAGAAUACAUUUCUGUUGUUUUAAGCCACGCAGCUUGUAGUGCUGUGUUUUGGUAGCCAAGAGAGUGCUCAGCCAGUGCUCUCUCUGAGGGGACACCAUGAGCUGGUUCUGAGAGUAUGGAAGCAACUGGAAGCUGGAACCAACCACUACUAGAAUCACCUGCCACUACUAGGAUGGAACACUCUGGUUGGCAUGACGCUGACAGAGACAAUGAGCAAAACAGAAGUGCCCUCUCUCUCUUCCAGCCUUCCUGUCACCUCUUAUUUGCUCCUUGGCCAAUGCCCAUGUAAUGGGGGGCCAGCUGUCAGGGGAGAAACAUUGUGUGCCAAGUCCUGGCUUCACAGAACUGACUCUGGCAGGUGGAGGGGGAGCUGAGAGACAAGAGCCUAGUACCCAGCAUCGGGCAUGGAAGCUUGGGUGGGGAAAAAAACCUCAUCUUUAUUUUCAUUAUCCUCUCUCUGAGAUCUAGCAUUCCCUUCCCUUAUGAAUAUGGGCCAAAAAUAAAUGGAGAAAACCACAGUAGUAUUAGCAGAACCUAUAACUCUGUCACUAAUGUUUUCAUUGCACGUUAGAGUUGCUGCAGAUAUUUCAAAUUAUCAUUUACGCUUAUCACCACUACUUAAAAAUUACGGUAGGUGUUAGACUUGCUGCUAGAUCUGGUAAUUCAAUAUGCUAAUAAAGGGGCAAACGGAUUACCAGCAUGAUUUUGUUUUUUAAUGUUUUCAUAACUUUAUUUAGUGUAUGACUUCCUUUUGUACUUGAGUUAUUAUUGUAUUUUAUGCAUUAAAAAUCUUAUUUUGGAAAGAUGACCAAAGACUUCACCAGACUGACAAAGGAGUCCAUGGCACCAAAAAAUAGCUGAAGUAUCAUUAGGAGGAAGGAAGGAUAACCAGGCAGAGCAGAGGAUUUUGGGCAGUGAAACUGUUCUGUAUGAUACUGUAAUGAUGGACACGUGACAUCAUAUAUUUGUCCAAACCUGCAGAAUGGACAACACCAAGCAUGACCCUAACGUAAACCAUGG